UACAGAGGGUGCGAGCGUUAAUCGGAAUUACUGGGCGUAAAGCGCACGUAGGCGGCUUGGUAUGUCGGGUGUGAAAUCCCCGGGCUCAACCUGGGAACUGCAUCCGAAACUGCCUUGCUAGAGUAUGGGAGAGGGAAGUGGAAUUUCCGGUGUAGCGGUGUAAUGCGUAGAUAUCGGAAGGAACAUCAGUGGCGAAGGCGACUUCCUGGACCAAUACUGACGCUCAGGUGCGAAAGCGUGGGGAGCAAACAGG
rnacentral:rRNA from 1 species